CUGAUGGGCCCGAGGAUUGAAUUUUGAUGCAAGUUUCUUGAAGCAAGUUUCACAAAAGAAGGGUGGAAAAUAUGAGAGACUGCAGCUGCAUACAGCAUUAUAAAGGGUGCAGGGAUCUGCUUUACAUGUUUCCUUAUCAGGUCUUAGCACAGUGACUUCACAGUGCAUUGGAGAAGGUAGAAGCAAUGACGUGAGUGGGGGCAGAAGCUUUGUCAUACAAUUCUGACAUUCUUCCACAGUCAUUUUCUGACGGGCAUUAUGUUCCAGGAUCGUCACAUAUAGAAGACAGCAUAACAUUCCUUUGGCUUAUAUCUUCCAGAUUUCAUGAUGUAUUACACAAUAAAAAAAGGUUUAAAUUGUUCUCUAUACUGAACAUCUUGGUCUGGGACAAUGUGACUGAAGUACUUUUAGAGACCUCCACAGCCACUAGCAGGGUCUGCUCCACUAAACGGUGGUUCUGGCACCUACAAGGAAGAGCUAACAUUUUCAUAGCAGACUCAGAAGCAAAUAAAGUCCUAUUAAGUAACCUUGAGGGAGGAGAAGAAGCCAUCUCCAGGUUGCAUGGGUGACUGAACACAGGAAAAUGACCACUGGUGAAGUGUCUCAGAAGGAGAACGGAGCAUCUACCUGCAGUGCAAUAUUCCUCUCAUGCACCACACGGCAACACAACAUGCUUGGAAGACAGACUAAUCUUCACAUACAGCAAUUUAUCAGAAGUUGGUAAUUCAUUUAGAGCUGCACAGUCACUGGCCUCCAUAGAAAAAAAAAAAAAAAAAAAAAAAAGUGUUUUGGGCAUUAGGCCUUUUCCUCCAGCUAGUUAAAAAUAACCAACUAUAUCCAUUAGUGCUGCUGAAGUUUCUAUAAGGAUUUCUCCCAUCCCCUCUGUAAUCUUCCAAAGUUAUAGACAUAUUAGCC
rnacentral:lncRNA from 1 species